ensembl:lncRNA
GUGGUGGGCCCCCUGGGGGCUGAGGAAGCAUCUCUGGGUCUUUCCUCUGGAGCAGUUGGCUUCUCCGUGAAGCCAAUUCCUCUUCCUGCCAGGGUCAAGCCUGGCCGCAGCUGGUGGCAGGGAGAAGACGGCUGAGGAGGGAAGGGCUGCAGAGCCCCCCCAGCUCCCCUAUCUCGGGGACCCACCUGCCCGUGUGCCUGCUGUCCCAUGGUCUGCGGGCCCUCAGGGGACUCCUUCCUAAGAACGUCCAGUCUUCUGUGCGGGAGGGUAUAGCGGUCAGAGAGAGUGGAGAAAGCAAGAAGGGAGGUGCUGGGGGUCUGGGGAAGUGGGGUCAGCCCCGUGCAGCUGCAGGACAGGGGUUGCUUCAGGAACCUGGCAUCAGGGCUGGCCCUGCUCCCAGGGAGGGGCUGCUGGAACGCAGAGUCCGGCCAACCCCAAGGCCAGCACUUCAGGAAACAGCUGCCCACAUCCCCAAAGUGAACAUCUAGAUAAUGGCCAGCACAGGCUGACCACACUGGAACCCACCUGGGAAAGCGUGCAUUCGCCUCCUAUCUCUCUGGGGCUGUCUGCAUCCUGUCCCCUGCAGCAAGGGCGUCUCCCAGCCCCAGCCCCUGUGAGAGCACAGAGGAGGGCGGAAAUGACACUGACCACCAAGAGAUCCUCUUGAGGGGGGGCGCUGGCAGGGGGUGGAAGCACAUACUUCUUAUAGAGAGGCUGCCAGCCCCUGCUUUCAGAGCCCUGCCACCCCCACAGUACCUGAUGCUCCCACCCCAGCCCCAGGUCUUCCUCAGCCCAGGGACAAGCCGGUUUUCUCUGGCUUCCUUCCUCCUGCAGGUCAGCCUGGCCAGCUUCCCAAGGAACAGCUCGAACAGCUGCAGCAUGGACAGGAGUGUCCUGUCACAGGUGGUGACCAGUGGCUCCAUCGGCCUCAUCCUGGUGCUGGGCCUGCAACUCAACGGCCUGGCGCCCUGCGUCUUCUGUUGCUGCCUGCGCAGGUGGACGGAGGACCGCAUCUACAUGGCCAACCUGGUGGCGGCCGACUGCCUGCUGCUGCUGAGCCUGCUGGGGGUCCAGCACACUGGAGGGCGCCUGUGCAGGUCUCGAAGAGCUCCUACUACCUCAGCACCUCCGUGAGCAUGUGCCUCAUCCCAGCCAUCGCUGGGGACCGCGGCUCCACCCUGCACCUUCCCCUGCAGGCCGCCCCCACCUUCUGGUCCUCAGGGCGGUGGCCCUGUCCACGUCCGCACAAGCAGACAGCUUCUGCUUCGGGCAGAGCCCCACCCUUCAGGCAGGGCUUCUCCCAGCUCCUCUUCCUCCCACGGCUCCUCCUGAGCUUCUGUGUGGGGCAGGUGCUCGGGCAUCUCCUCCGUGAGGGAACACAGGCGCUGCCCCAAGCCACAGCCCACAUCUCAAGGCCCUCUGCAUGGUGGCGGCCAACCUGGCCACCUUCACGGUCUGUUUCCUCCCACUGCACGUCGCCUUCUUGGCCAAGCUCGUGGCCCAAUGGACAAAUUUGGCCUGCCCCACCAUCCAGAGGGUGGUCACCGUCAGACAGCCUGAUUCUCACACGGCCAACGCCAGCUGCUGCCAGGAUGCUGUCGGCUACUCUUCCACGGCCAUGGAGUUCCAGGAAGAUGUGGGGGCCGUCCUCGCCAUGCCCCGGCCUUUCCAGGGAUAGAUGUGGGGCUCUCCUGUGCGUGGUGACCCAACCUGGGCGCCUGGGGGGAGGCAGCUGAGGAGAGCACGGCAGGAGGGGCCCGCGCACGGCCCUACAGCAUGCUGCCCAGGGAGCCCUGAGUCCCCCCGAUGCAAAACUCACUCCCUUCCUCCACAGUAUCCACCAGAAACAGCCGCUUCAUCUUAGCGUGAUUUGAUGCUGUCUCUGACAGUUUAUGGGUCCCGGGGAUGGGGCUAUCCCCCAGCAAGUAGAAUUGAACCACGAAGUUAAAGGAGCACCACCAUGCGGAUCUUUUCUCCAAAGCUCUGCUAUGCCUGCCCCCAGGCGAUGCCAGCCUCUCAGGUGGUAGACCUUUGUCAGUGUGUCCCGGCACCCCAGCCCUCAAGCUCGAUGAGGAGUGACCCAGGUUGACCUCCAACCUCUAGCCUCCACCCAUUAAGAUGCUCAGGAAAGGAGGGACCCUCUGAGCACCAGGGCAAGUAUUGGGGAGAGAUGUUAAAGAAAAUCAAGACAUUAUUUUUUCUGUCACCUGUAGAUUAUGAUUAGACACCAAAAUCUACUGGAAGUUUCAGGAUGUCUCUUCAAGCCAUUAAAACCAUUGCAAAUGUAACCGAAACAGAUCCCAGGGCUGCAGGGUGUCACAUUUAACAAGACAUAGCCACUAAAUAACUUUAAAGGAAUUCCUCUAAAAAACUUUUUUAACUUGGGCUCCUAAAGAGGAUCAAAGAGGUCCCCUCCGUAACCCGGGGCGGGGAGAGCCCCUUCUCCUCCCACUUCACAUCUCCCUGCAGCCACCCACAGUCUCCAGCCUUUUGUGGCCUCCGUCAGUGUUCUCCACACUUGGCUAGUCACCAGGAUUUUCCUCAAGAAAUCAAAGUCUGGAAACAGGCCCCAAAAGGAAGCACCCUUCCUGCUCAGAAACUCAGAAACCCAGGCAGGAGCAGGGCUGUCACUGACCAGACUGGACCCGGAGCCCAAGCCCCCUCCAGCCCCGCCCACUCCCUGCCUCACAUCUGACCACAUCACUCCUCUGCCCCCGACGGGUCCUGGGGAUUCUGUGGUGCUGCCGUAAGAGCCGUUACGGGGAGGGAGGGACACCAUGUCAGAGAC